rnacentral:misc_RNA from 1 species
AAGUCGUAACAAGGUCUCCGUAGGUGAACCUGCGGGGGGAUCGAUUACAGAGUUCAUGCCCUAACGGUAGAUCGUCCCACCCUCAUCGUUAUUAUUACUUUGUUGCUUUGGCGGGCCGUCAGGCUCACGCCCGGCUACCGGCUCACGCUGGUAAGCGCCCGCCCAGAGAACCCCAAACCCUGCAAAUAUUCAGUGUCGUCUGAGUACUAUAUAAUAGUUAAAA